GGGGCUGUGGCUCAGCGGUAGAGCACUUGCCUAGCAUGUGUGAGGUCCUGGGUUCGAUCCUCAGCACCA
rnacentral:tRNA from 1 species